UACGGGGGGGGCAAGCGUUGUUCGGAAUUACUGGGCGUAAAGGGUUCGUAGGUGGCCUGCUAAGUCAGACGUGAAAUCCCUCGGCUUAACCGGGGAACUGCGUCUGAGACUGGCGGGCUUGAGUGCAGGAGAGGAACGCGGAAUUCCAGGUGUAGCGGUGAAAUGCGUAGAUAUCUGGAGGAACACCGGUGGCGAAGGCGGCGUUCUGGACUGUUACUGACACUGAGGAACGAAAGCCAGGGGAGCAAACGGG
rnacentral:rRNA from 1 species